CUGAAGAGCCAUCAUUGAGGAGGAGAGCACACGGGAUGAGGUCAGAGGAGGAAGGCGAGAUCACGCAGGUCUCGGAGACCAGGCCAGGAGGUGGAUUUAUGACACUACAAUGAUGGCUAAUGUGCCAAUAUCCAUAGGAACCUGUAUCCAGGAUCACUGUACCUGUGAAUAAAGUGCAGCUGCUCCAAGUAGACACAGCCUUUUGAAAUAUCUACACACAGGUCUACAAGGUCAACCAAGGUCAAUGGGAUUAUAACAACCAGAAAUAUUCCAAUUACAACAUUCUUGCUGCAAAAUAUGGCUAGACAGGAAAUCCGAAUACUGAAAAGUGAAAUAAUUUGCCCUGUUCAGGAUCUUGCAAGACCAGAUAUUGGAUCAUGAAGGACAAUGUUCACUGUUCUAAUCUGCCCAGGCCUGAGUUAAUAGCUACAAGAAUAAAUGCUAAAUGACUGACAGCCUUCAGUCAAUUUUGUGGCAUAUUCAUCUCACAAAAGAAGGUUGGAAUCAUGCUGGAAAUUUUAAGAAAAUACUGAUUUCUGGGUCCCACCUCCAGAGAUUCUGACUGAAUUGGCCUGAGGGGAAACCUGGAUGAAGAGAUUUUAAGAGCUCCAGUGUGCACGAGGUUGCGAACCAGGCCUUUGGUGCAUGUUAAUCAAUGUGAAGACAAGAUACAUGAGCUCUCAUAGCCAUGUCCAGUGCCACAGCCCAGCCUUAGUCAGCCACAUGAUCCAAGCUGCCUCUGAAACAACUCUCUUUAGAAAUGUGUAAAAAAGAUAAAAACAGACAAAAUAAAGGAAGUAAUAAGAACGAGCUGUAUUUUCUGGCCAAGUGUACUGUGUUAACCUCAAAUAGGAGAUGGUCAAUUUCACUUUUUGACUUGGUUAAAUAAGUAGCACAAAGCAAAAUAUAGGAUACACAUGAUUUCAUCACAAGGACAACUAAAACACCAGUGCCCAUGUUGCCAAGAAUUAUGCCAAUUCAUUUAUUCACUCGAGAGAUAUCUAGUGAAUGCCUAUACAAUGUCAAGUACUAAGCUGGGUACUAGAAAUACAAUGAUAAGUCAAAGCAUAGCCCCUGAAUAAUGGAGCAUUUCACAAAAUACUGGAAAUCACACAAAAAUAUACAAUUUUUAUAUUAGAUAUAUGCUAUGCAGGACAGAGGUACAUGGCAAUGUUCUCUCUGUCAAAUGCAUUUCUUACCCCUCAACCAAAAUCUGCUAGAUGAGCCAUAAAAUCACAUAGGCAUCACUUUCUAGGGAUAAUUAGAUAACCAGGAAGGACAAAAAAAAUACAGUUCUUUUAAGGACACUCAGGAAAUUGUUACUGUUGGCGAUCUACCAACUGGUCAGUUAAUAAAGUUUGUUGAAGUGUAAAUUACUCCCAGACAAGAAGACUAGACACAAUAUGCUUUGAUGAAUCAGCUAUAACAGGUUGCAUAAUAGCACAUCCCAGAAAAUGCUAUAGAAAAUACUAUGACGAAGAAUUUCAUAUCAAAAAAGAGUAUCUUCUAAAAAGACAAAGACCACCAGCUCCAAUCUUACCAGCAUUCUAUAUUUUGGUUCAGAGCCAUUUUUCCCAUCAUUAACUUCUUUGUAAUAAACCAGGUAUGUUGGAGUUGGGUUGGUGAUGCCAUACCAGGUGAGGUUUGUCCUGGAAGACGGUAAUCUGAUUGUGAGGCUGGUGUUAGUGGUGUUAAGUAUAAUUGGCUCUGCGAUAUCUGAAGCUAGAGACAGAAAUGCUUUAUCUAAAAUAAUAAGAAAAAAAGAUUAAAUAUAUACACAUGUGAACAUUGAGGGUAAUAUGAUAUUUAUUUUUUUACUUAACUUAUAAGGCAUGAUGUAUUGAAGUGUUGGAAAUAUUAUUCAGGACAGAAAGACAAGUUUUUUUCUUAAAGAUGGAUGAACUAGGGAGCAAGGUAACUGGUAAUUGCUUAACAUUUCCAGCAGAUGGAGCUAAAGUAUAGCCUUUAUAAUGUACCUAGACCAGUGAUGGCAAACCUUUUGAGCUCCACAUGUCAGCAUUUUGAAAAACCCUAAAUCUGGUGCC